rnacentral:rRNA from 1 species
UCAAGCGACUAAGUGUAUGUGGUGGAUGCCUUGGCGAUUACAGGCGAAGAAGGACGUCGCAGCCUGCGAAAAGCCGUGGGGAGCUGGCAAGCGAGCACUGAUCCACGGAUGUCCGAAUGAGGGAACUCACCCGCAAGGGUAUCUUGAAGUGAAUACAUAGCUUCAAGAGGCGAACGCAGCGAACUGAAACAUCUAAGUAGCUGCAGGAAAAGAAAUCAACCGAGAUUCUGAAAGUAGCGGCGAGCGAAAUUGGAAGAGCCUGCAAGUGAUAUUGAAUUCGAUACUGGAACGGUCUGGAAAGUCCGGCUACAGAGGGUGACAGCCCCGUACGGGAAAUUGGGUUCAAGGUACUGAGCUUGCGAGAAGUAGAGCGGGACACGUGAAAUCCUGCUCGAAGAUGGGGGGACCAUCCUCCAAGGCUAAAUACUCGUAAUCGACCGAUAGCGAACCAGUACUGUGAAGGAAAGGCGAAAAGAACCCCGGGAGGGGAGUGAAAUAGAUCCUGAAACCGCAUACAUACAAACAGUAGGAGCCCGCAAGGGUGACUGCGUACCUUUUGCAUAAUGGGUCAGCGACUUACGUUCAAUGGCAAGCUUAACCGAGUAGGGGAGGCGCAGCGAAAGCGAGUCCGAACAGGGCGACAUGAGUCGUUGGGCGUAGACCCGAAACCAGAUGAUCUAUCCAUGGCCAGGCUGAAGGUGUGGUAACACACACUGGAGGGCCGAACCGACUAGUGUUGCAAAAUUAGCGGAUGAGCUGUGGAUAGGGGUGAAAGGCUAAACAAAUCUGGAGAUAGCUGGUUCUCCCCGAAAACUAUUGAGGUAGUGCCUCGUGUAUGGCUCCAGGGGGUAGAGCACUGUUAUGGCUAGGGGGACAUGGCGUCUUACCAAACCAUGGCAAACUCCGAAUACUUGGAAGUCUGAGCACGGGAGACAGAGCACCGGGUGCUAACGUCCGGACUCAAAAGGGAAACAACCCAGACCGCCGGCUAAGGUCCCUAAUAUUGACUAAGUGGAAAACGAAGUGGGAAGGCUAAGACAGUCAGGAAGUUGGCUUAGAAGCAGCCAUCCUUCAAAGAAAGCGUAAUAGCUCACUGAUCGAGUCUUCCUGCGCGGAAGAUGUAACGGGGCUAAGUCAAUAACCGAAGCCGCGGAUUCGCAGCAAUGCGAGUGGUAGGGGAGCGUUCUGUAAGCCUGCGAAGGCGGAUCUGCGAGGACCGCUGGAGGUAUCAGAAGUGCGAAUGCUGACAUGAGUAACGUUAAAGCGGGUGAAAAGCCCGCUCGCCGCAAGCCCAAGGUUUCCUGCUCUACGUUCAUCGGAGCAGGGUGAGUCGGCCCCUAAGGUCAGGCUGAGAAGCGUAGCUGAUGGGAAGCUGGUUAAUAUUCCAGCACCGAUUUCAAGUGCGAAGGGGGGACGGAGUCCUGAAGGUCAUCCGGGUGUUGGAUAUCCCGGUUUACGAGCGUAGGAGGUUGACAGGCAAAUCCGUCAACGGAUCUCCAAGGCGAAGGAUCGAGGUUGAGAGAUCAACUGAAGUGACUGAAUGGGCUUCCAGGAAAAGCCUCUAAGCAUCAGCUUGGAAUUGACCGUACCGCAAACCGACACUGGUGGGCGAGCUGAAUAUGCUCAGGCGCUUGAGAGAACUCAGGAGAAGGAACUCGGCAAAUUGACACCGUAACUUCGGGAUAAGGUGUGCCUUUGUAGUGUGAAGAGAGAAACACUCCGAGCAUGAAGAGGCCUCAGAGAAUCGGUGGCUGCAACUGUUUACUAAAAACACAGCACUCUGCAAAGAUGAAAGUCGACGUAUAGGGUGUGAUGCCUGCCCGGUGCUGGAAGAUUAAUUGAUGGGGUGCAAGCUCCUGAUCGAAGUCCCAGUAAACGGCGGCCGUAACUAUAACGGUCCUAAGGUAGCGAAAUUCCUUGUC